rnacentral:rRNA from 1 species
AUGGUGCUUCAUCCAUCCACACAUCCACACAGCUCUGCUCUACGUUCGUGCACAUGCCUUUUUAAGAGCAUCUCCCGACGUAGCACCGGGAAAAUAUAUACACUCUUUCAUAGCACGUCGCAACCGAUCACCACCACCACCAUGGCUCGCUCACCUGCCGAGUUCGUCUUGCUCCUUAUGGCAGCGGCAAUCUGGAGCUUCUUCCUUGUCGCCGGCGCAGGGCAGCUCCAGCCGAGCUGCAUAGGGCGCGAGAGGGACGCAUUGCUGGCCUUCAAGCAAGGCAUCAGCGACGACCCCAAGGACUACCUUGGGUCGUGGCGACAAGAGCGCCAAGAUUGCUGCCAAUGGGCAGGCAUCACCUGCGACAACGUAACCGGCCAUGUCGUCAAGCUUGACCUUGGCCAAGGAAAUUAUUUGGCCGGCCAGAUAAGUCCUUCCUUGCUCUCUCUAGAGCAUCUCGAGUACCUCAAUCUCUGGGGCACGGGACUGUGUGGGCCUGGUGGUCGUGUUCCAGAGUUCUUGGGUUCCUUAAAGAACUUGAAGUAUCUUGAUCUGUCCGGCAUGUCUUUCUCUGGUAUGGUGCCUCCUCAGUUUGGCAACCUGUCAAAGCUAGAAUACCUCGACCUAUCCCGCAUACAUUUCAACAAUACGCAGAUGGUCUUAACAGACAUCUCAUGGUUAACCCGUCUACCUCUGUUGGCGCAACUUGAUAUGAGUCUUAUCAACCUCAGCUCAAUAGCCGAUUGGCCUCUUGUUGUGAACAAGAUUCCAUCUUUGAAGUUGCUCCGUCUUGUUGAGUGCUCGCUUUCAAGUGCAAACCAAGCCCUCACACACCUAAACCUCACAAAUCUUCAUAACCUUGAUCUCUCCUUUAACCACUUUGGUCAUCCAAUCGCCUCUGGUUGGUUUUGGAACUUAACAAGCAUCAAGGACCUCAGCCUUGAUAGUAACUAUCUGUAUGGUCCAUUCCCUGAUGCACUCGCAAAUAUGACAUCCCUCCAAUGGUUAGAUUUGCAAAACAUGGGUAACAAAGCCACAAUGACAGUGGACUUGAAAAAACUAUGUGAUUUGGAGGAACUAUGGCUUGAUGGAAGCCUCUCCUCUGGAAACAUAACAGAGUUUCUAGAUAAAUUGCCACAAUGUCCGUCCAACAAAUUGCAGUACUUGUACUUGAGCAGCAACAAUAUGGCUGGAAUUCUUUCCAACAGAAUGGGGCACUUAACCAACCUAUUUUGGUUCGACAUUUCUUACAAUAACAUUACUGGAGCUAUACCGCUAGGCAUUGGGAAUCUCUCUUGUUUACAAAGCCUUGUUCUUUCUAACAAUUUUCUUACUGGUGCUAUACCGCUAGGCAUCGGGAAUCUCUCUUCUUUAGAAGCUGUUUAUCUUUCUAACAAUUUUCUUACUGGUGCUAUACCGCUAGGCAUCGGGAAUCUCUCUUCUUUAGAAGUUCUUUAUCUUUCUAACAACCUUCUUACUGGAGCUAUACCGCUAGAGUUGGAAAAUUGCACUUAUGUCUAUCUCUCAAAUAACAAUUUUAGUGGACCUAUACAACUAGGGAUAGAGCACUGCACUAUAUUAGAAGAACUUGACCUUUCUGACAACAAUAUUGCUGGAGUUAUACCGCCAUGGUUGGGGAAUUGCACUAGUUUGAGGCACCUUUCUCUUUCUAAUAACCUUCUCACUGGACAUGUCCCAUCUAAGAUCACUUUGCUUGGCAAUUUAACUGAACUCGCCCUUAGCAACAACAAUCUAGAUGGUGUGAUCACGGAGGAACACCUAGUUACUCUAAAGAACUUAGAACACCUUGAUCUAUCACACAAUUCUUUCUCAGGUCCUCUGCCAUUAGAGUUUGGAGCGUACAAAUUAGUAGAAUUGACAUUAUCCUCCAAUUACUUCAGUGGGCAUAUUCCUAUAUCUGUUUGUACGUUGAGGAACCUACUUGUCUUGGAUUUAUCAGACAACCUUUUAGUGGGUGAACUUCCUCGAUGUUCUCAAGAGCCUAACCUGGUUUUCCUCCUCUUAAGUCACAACCGUCUUUCUGGCAAGUUACCAUCAUCACUAAAGAACUAUAAGAGUCUAGCUUUCAUGGAUCUUUCAGCAAAUAAUUUCCAUGGAACAUUGCCAUCAUGGAUUGGAGACUUAGUAUAUUUGCGCUUUUUGCAACUAAGUCAAAAUUUCUUUUGUGGGGAUAUUCCGUUGACUAUCACAAAUCUUAAACGCCUUCGUCAGCUCAGUUUAGCAGGAAACAAUAUAUCUGGUGUUAUACCCUGGUCAUUGUCAAAUUUAACAGCAAUGACCCAAAAACAUACAAAGAGACCUGGGGUCGACAUGUUUGUAUGGUACACCGGCUAUGUGGGUAAAUUUGGAGAAGUUUGGCCCAUUGUGAUGAAGCGCCAAGAACUUAAGUAUGGUAAAGGAAUUUUUAAUGUGGUUGGUAUGGAUCUAUCACUCAACUACCUAACGGGUGAAAUUCCUGAUGGGAUAACCUCUCUUAAUGGAUUGUUGAAUCUAAACUUCUCAUGGAACCAAUUAAGUGAAAAAAUUCCUGGGAAGAUUGGAGCCAUGAAAUCACUUGAAUCAUUGGACCUGUCAAGGAACAGCCUUUCUGGUGAAAUCCCAUCAAGCUUGGCAGACUUGACUUAUUUAAGCUCCUUGGACUUGUCAUAUAACAAUCUUACAGGAAGAAUUCCAGUGGGGCGCCAACUUGACACCCUCUACUUGGAGAACCAGUCCAUAUACAUGGGCAACAUUGGUCUGUGUGGCCCUCCUCUUGAAAGGAAUUGCUCGGGAAACAAUGCACCAGAGCAUGACAAUCAACAGAAAAUUGAGAAGGUUUCUGAACCUGUGUUGUUCUUUUACUUUGGACUUGGAUCUGGGUUGGUGGCUGGCCUUUGGGUUGUGUUUUGCACCCUACUGUUCAAGAAAGUUUGGAGGGUUGCAUAUUUCCGCCUCUUUGACAAGUCGUAUGACAAGGCAUAUGUGUUUGUGGUUGUUACUUGGGGCAGGAUAAACCGAGAGCCGAUAGAAACUUAA